ensembl:lncRNA
AAAGACUUUUUGAAUAGCUCUUCAGUAGGAAGAGCUUGCUCAUUUAUUUUGUAGGGCCCUUGGACCUACAGGUUGUUGGCAUCUACAGGCUAUCUUUAAUACUGAUUUGCCUGGUAUAUUCCUCUUGACAGUCAUUUUUGCAGCGUUGCCUAUGUGUUUCAGGAGCAACCAGCCCAUCUGUUGACCUCCUUGCAGGUGAGAUGAAACCAGCAGCUACCUUCAAGGUGACUCAGCUUUUGGAGUGAAGCACAAUUGACAAGGAACUGUAUCUUGACUCACCUAUGCCCAGCCCCAGCAGCUGUCUAUAAAACACAGGCAAAUGAAAAUACUCCCUUCCUUAGUGGGGAUGAUGAGAAGGAAAGGACAAUGCUGAACCCAAUUGUGGGAGAUAAUGGAACUUAGAAGUGGAAUGAAUUUGAUUUACAAGUACAGCAAUUCUUCAGUCGCUGAUGUUUUCCACAUACAUGUUUUGUUCUUCCAAAGUUUAAUCAAUAACUAAGACCCAGUAUAUCUUCAGCAGCAUACCACACUUGUACAAAAGACUCCUGCUGUGGGACACAGUUUAUGUUCACAGCCACUGUGCAGUCACUAAAAGGGGAUGGAGAAGAAGGAGCUGAGUAAGGGACGAGAAACUGUUGUAGUGCUGGGUACUGAUGGCAGCAAUGAUAUGGUUGACAUGGAGUUGACUCUUCUUCCAGCUGCAUGUAAAGCACAUUGUGGCACCGCCAUGAGUAAUCCACAUUGAAUUCUUUGAGAUGGCCAAGGCAGAUUCCUACCAGGAGCAGAUUAGCAGAGAUAACCUGGAGAAUCUUUCCACAUGGAACUGUCAGGAGGACUGUCUUGGACAUCAUGAGCAAAUAUCAAGAGAUCUGAAGUAUCAAGAGACUAUUUGGAUGUCAGAGUUUAAUGUGAAAUCUCAUGAAAAAUAUGGGCCAGGAGGUGUGUCAGAUCCAUAUCUGAGACUGAAUUUGACUUCAGGUCACUUGUUUUACAACUCUAGGUCACUGUCAUAUGCACUUCUGCUACUAUGAUGCCAUCCACCAUGAGGUCUUCAAAAGAAUCCAACGAAUACCAGCAUCAUUCCCUUGAAUCUCCAAACCUGUCAAUGUAGAUAGAAGAAAUAUUGAAAUGGCUCAAAUGUAUCACAUGAAACUUGUAUGGUACUGGAUAUCAUUAAAAAAAUAAAAUUGUCCAGGAAGCUGCAGGUGGGAGGAUCAUUUAGAGCAUUAAAAACAAGUACAAGGAUGCUGUAUAACCCAAUGGGAGACCAAUUUCUACUUCUGAUUCAACCAUGAAGUUCUGCUUCCCAUAUAAGAGCUGCUAGAUGAAGACCUCUCUCCCAGCAACCUCCAUAACCCAAAGGACACUGAGCACCAGCGAAUGCUUCCAUGGGGAGAAAAUAGAAGGCGUUUUUGCAGAUUUUAUUGAUGGAAGGCAAAGGCUCCUUGUGAAAUAAUUAAUUUGUGUUGCUGAUUUAAAACCUGAACUUUGAUCAUGGGCAGAAAAAUAGUGUUGCAAUUCAUCCACACUAAAUCCUAGUGUGCUCUCUGGUAGGAAAAAAUAGAGUAGGAGUAGAAAAGACCAUUGGACAUCCAAACUGCACCAAGCAGAUAAUCAUUUUUAGGUAUAUUGGGCUAAGGAUUCAACACCUUCUUACUAAGGGGUUAAAAGUUGACACCAGAAUGGUGCUGUAUGGAAAUUGAAGUGUUUUGUAUGUCAGUCAUACUUAAACUAACUAUAAUGAACUGCAAAUAAAAAUUCCCAAG